AUUUCAUUAUCUGCACCUCGGAAAAGAAAACCUAAUCUUCCACCACAGAAAUCAGAGGAGCCAGGAUCUGAGCUGGCAGGAACCGUCUUGCCUGAGCGAGAGAGGCAGCGAGAAAAAGUGAGCGAUGAAGAAAAUAAAACUUUCCUUCGGUCCUGCCGCAGAGCUGUCAGCACGGGAACGGCUAACACGGCCCUCGGCGCUUCCGGACUUGUUCCUCGCCGGGAGCACCCACAGCCGGAGCCCUCGGCAGCUUCCGGUCCGCGGGCGGUUGCUAGGCGACCUCGGGCCAGCAGCGGCCAAGCUGCCCACCCCCUCCCCGCCCCAGUCCCACCCGCAGACCCGCCGAGGCGCCAGGACGCAUGCGCACUUGUCACUGCGCUGUGCGAAGCGACGCGAGCUCCCGCCCUUCGCCGUGCUCUGUGCCCCGCCCCUUCUCGUGCUGUAGCCCCGAGCUCCGUUCCGUUUCAGACCUGGCCCUGCCCACGCCUCGUCUUCAGUCUUGGGAACAGUGCGGACCCACGUCCCGCGCUCUCGUGGUGGCGGUGGUGGUGGGUGGGAUGGAGAAGGGUACGGUGGCAGAAUGAGGCCAGAGCAGGGGAGGCGGCACUUGCGGACUCACUUCCGGACCACGGGCGGAAGCGGAUGCGGCGGAGGGUGGGAGGGGGGACCCGAGCGCGAGGGGAGGGUCCGGCCGCCGCGGGUCCAGGGGGUGGGGUCUGGGCCGCCUGUCCGGACCCAGCUUGGGGCCUGGACUCGGACCUGGGAGGGCCUCGGCUUCCGGCUGACACCCGGCCGGCGGGACCCAGGUUAACACUGAAAUCAGCCUCUGGCCAUGCCGGUUCAAUGGCUUGUUUCUUCUCAUGA
rnacentral:lncRNA from 1 species